UGCAGUCGAGCGAACGGACGAGAAGCUUGCUUCUCUGAUGUUAGCGGCGGACGGGUGAGUAACACGUGGAUAACCUACCUAUAAGACUGGGAUAACUUCGGGAAACCGGAGCUAAUACCGGAUAAUAUUUUGAACCGCAUGGUUCAAAAGUGAAAGACGGUCUUGCUGUCACUUAUAGAUGGAUCCGCGCUGCAUUAGCUAGUUGGUAAGGUAACGGCUUACCAAGGCAACGAUGCAUAGCCGACCUGAGAGGGUGAUCGGCCACACUGGAACUGAGACACGGUCCAGACUCCUACGGGAGGCAGCAGUAGGGAAUCUUCCGCAAUGGGCGAUAGCCUGACGGAGCAACGCCGCGUGAGUGAUGAAGGUCUUCGGAUCGUAAAACUCUGUUAUUAGGGAAGAACAUAUGUGUAAGUAACUGUGCACAUCUUGACGGUACCUAAUCAGAAAGCCACGGCUAACUACGUGCCAGCAGCCGCGGUAAUACGUAGGUGGCAAGCGUUAUCCGGAAUUAUUGGGCGUAAAGCGCGCGUAGGCGGUUUUUUAAGUCUGAUGUGAAAGCCCACGGCUCAACCGUGGAGGGUCAUUGGAAACUGGUUAACUUGAGUGCAGAAGAGGAAAGUGGAAUUCCAUGUGUAGCGGUGAAAUGCGCAGAGAUAUGGAGGAACACCAGUGGCGAAGGCGACUUUCUGGUCUGUAACUGACGCUGAUGUGCGAAAGCGUGGGGAUCAAACAGGAUUAGAUACCCUGGUAGUCCACGCCGUAAACGAUGAGUGCUAAGUGUUAGGGGGUUUCCGCCCCUUAGUGCUGCAGCUAACGCAUUAAGCACUCCGCCUGGGGAGUACGACCGCAAGGUUGAAACUCAAAGGAAUUGACGGGGACCCGCACAAGCGGUGGAGCAUGUGGGUUUAAUUCGAAGCAACGCGAAGAACCUUACCAAAUCUUGACAUCCUUUGACAACUCUAGAGAUAGAGCCUUCCCCUUCGGGGGACAAAGUGACAGUGGUGCAUGGUUGUCGUCAGCUCGUGUCGUGAGAUGUUGGGUUAGUCCCGCACGAGCGCA
rnacentral:rRNA from 1 species